rnacentral:precursor_RNA from 15 species
AAAGUCACUGAGAAAGUGCGAUGUGUGCAUUGCAUUGCGACGGGUUACAUCACUGGUCGUAACAUGAUGUAACCCAACGCAGCAUGAUGUAAGCGUCGUGAUACAUUGGAGAUUUAAA